UGAAAUACCAACAUUGGUUAAUGAAAUCACCAAGUACUUUGUGAUCAUCAGAUGUAAAUCCAUGCUGGAUCAAUUUAUCCAAGGCCUUUCAUAUUAUGGGGUAUUAGAUUUUGUCAGAAACCACAAAGGGAUGGCUCAUCAUCUAUUUUCUUGCAUGAAACAUGGCAAUGUGAAUGUUCAACAGGUGAUCAAAACAUUGAAACCAGCAUUUUCACCCCAAGGAAACCAGCGAAGAAUUAAAGAAGAAAUAGUGAUGACAAAAUUCAUUGCCUUUUUAAAAUCAAUUGAAGAUGGUACUUUGCAAGAGUGCUU